rnacentral:rRNA from 1 species
AACCUGGUUGAUCCUGCCAGUAGUCAUAUGCUUGUCUCAAAGACUAAGCCAUGCAUGUCUAAGUAUAAACGCUUCUAUACUGUGAAACUGCGAAUGGCUCAUUAAAUCAGUUAUAGUUUAUUUGAUGGUUUCUUACUACUUGGAUAACCGUGGUAAUUCUAGAGCUAAUACAUGCACAAAGUCCCGACUCUUCGGAAGGGAUGUAUUUAUUAGAUCCAAAACCAAUGCGAGUCUCUCGGGGCUCGGUUCCUUGGUGAUUCAUGAUAACUGCUCGAACCGUAUGGCCCUUGCGCCGACGGUGCUUCAUUCAAAUUUCUGCCCUAUCAACUUUCGAUGGUACGGUAGUGGCCUACCAUGGUUGCAACGGGUGACGGAGAAUUAGGGUUCGAUUCCGGAGAGGGAGCCUGAGAAACGGCUACCACAUCCAAGGAAGGCAGCAGGCGCGCAAAUUACCCAAUCCCGACUCGGGGAGGUAGUGACAAUAAAUAACAAUGCCGGGCUAUUGUAGUCUGGCAAUUGGAAUGAGUACAAUCUAAAUCCCUUAACGAGGAACAAUUGGAGGGCAAGUCUGGUGCCAGCAGCCGCGGUAAUUCCAGCUCCAAUAGCGUAUAUUAAAGUUGUUGCAGUUAAAAAGCUCGUAGUUGGAUUUCGGGGUGGCCUGCCUGGUCCACCGCAAGGUGAGUACUGGUCAGCCGCCCUUCCUCUCGAAAGCCCCGACUGCUCUUUACUGCAGUGGUCGGGUAGUUCGGGACGUUUACUUUGAAAAAAUUAGAGUGUUCAAAGCAGGCUAUCGCCUGAAUACAUUAGCAUGGAAUAAUGGGAAGAGGACCUCGGUCCUAUUUUGUUGGUUUCUAGGGCCGAAGUAAUGAUUAAGAGGGACAGUUGGGGGGCAUUCGUAUUUAAUUGUCAGAGGUGAAAUUCUUGGAAUUUAUGAAAGACGAACUAGUGCGAAAGCAUUUG